GUCUGUGGGAAGAUUCAGGAUAUAAAAGAAGGAACAGGUGGGCCCUCUCUUUCUCUUGGAGGCUGGCGGUACUUCGGAGAGAGCUUCCCAUGGCUGUGGUAGUCUCCUGUUGGAUGCCUGUUCCGGCACAGUGACCUGCUUGGGAAGGUCAUCCUGCACUCCACAGCAUCUGCCAUGCCCUCUGCUAUCUGCUGGCAUCCUCUGUUGCCACGGAGCUCAAACUUAAGACUUAACCCUGAGUCUCAGAAGAGACUUCGAACUUGGAUUUUUUUAAAAAACAAUUUUGGAACUGGUAAGGCUGUGGGGAUUCAUUUUGCAUUAUGGAAUGGCUGUGAGCUUUGUGGGGUCCAGGACAAACUGCUAAGGAUUAAAUUUGAAACAUUCCCGAUAGGUUCAUAUUUUGAAUGUUGAUUGCCUAGCUGGUGGCAUUAUUUGGGGGAGGCUUGAGAACCUUGGGAGGUGAGUUGGGGCUGUGCUAAUAGAAGUAGAUCACUAAGAGAGGGACUUUGUAAACAACACUGAGGCCUCGUUCCAAUUGCAGUCCCUGCUUCCUGUUCUGCCAUGAAGUGAGUAGCCUCUACCAUGAUGUGAGCAGUGUCUGCCAUGGUGUGAGCAGUGUCUGCCCUGGUGUGAGCAGUGUCUGCCCUGGUGUGAGCAGUGUCUGCCCUGGUGUGAGCAGUGUCUGCCCUGGUGUGAGCAGUGUCUGCCCUGGUGUGAGCAGUGUCUGCCCUGGUGUGAGCAGUGUCUGCCCUGGUGUGAGCAGUGUCUGCCCUGGUAUGAACAUCCUCUGCCCUGGUGUUUCCCAAUCUGUGGGUUGCCUUUUUGUCUUGUUGACUGUGUCCUGUUGGGGAAGUCCUGUUAUUUGCCUGUGCAUUUGUCAAUAAAGUACUGUCUGG